rnacentral:rRNA from 1 species
ACAGCAUCUUGAAUACACCAGUUCCCCAUGGAUCUAUGAAGUUAAGCAACGUUGCGCAUGGUUGGUAUCCGGAUGGGCGACCAUCUAGGCAAUAGCGUGU